rnacentral:rRNA from 1 species
GCACUUAAGGUGCGGAGCCGUAGCGAAAGCGAGUUUUAACUGAGCGUUCAGUUACUUGACGUAGACCCGAAACCGGGCGACCUACCCAUGAGCAGGAUGAAGCGAAAGUAAAAUUUCGUGGAGGUCCGAACCCACGAGCGUUGAAAAGCUCGGGGAUGACUUGUGGGUAGCGGUGAAAUUCCAAUCGAGCCCGGAGAUAGCUGGUUCUCCCCGAAAUAGCUUUAGGGCUAGCCUCAAGGUGAGAGAUACGGAGGUAGAGCACUGAAUGUCCUAGGGGGUAUUGCACCUACCGAAGACUAUCAAACUCCGAAUGCCGUCAUCUUAUACUUGGGAGUCAGACUGUGGGUGAUAAGAUUCAUAGUCGAAAGGGCAACAGCCCAGAUCGUCAGCUAAGGUCCCUAAAUGUAAGUUAAGUGGUAAAGGAUGUGGGAUUGCACAGACAACCAGGAUGUUGGCUUAGAAGCAGCCACUCAUUCAAAGAGUGCGUAAUAGCUCACUGGUCGAGUGAUCCUGCGCCGAAGAUUUCCGGGGCUAAAACUUACUACCGAAGCUACGGCAUCAGUAAUGAUGGGUAGGGGAGCUUCCCAUACGGGUUGAAGCAUGACCGUAAGGACAUGUGGACAGUAUGGGAGUGAGAAUGUUGGCAUGAGUAGCGAGAUGUGGGUGAGAAUCCCACAGGCCGUAAACCCAAGGUUUCCAGGGGAAGGUUCGUCCGCCCUGGGUUAGUCGGGACCUAAGCUGAGGCCGAAAGGCGUAGGUGAUGGACAACAGGUUGAUAUUCCUGUAC